rnacentral:rRNA from 1 species
AGUGAACGCUGGCGGUAGGCCUAACACAUGCAAGUCGAACGGCAGCACAGUAAGAGCUUGCUCUUACGGGUGGCGAGUGGCGGACGGGUGAGGCAUACAUCGGAAUCUACUUUUUCGUGGGGGAUAACGUAGGGACACUUACGCUAAUACCGCAUACGACCUACGGGUGAAAGCAGGGGAUCUUCGGACCUUGCGCGAUUGAAUGAGCCGAUGUCGGAUUAGCUAGUUGGCGGGGUAAAGGCCCACCAAGGCGACGAUCCGUAGCUGGUCUGAGAGGAUGAUCAGCCACACUGGAACUGAGACACGGUCCAGACUCCUACGGGAGGCAGCAGUGGGGAAUAUUGGACAAUGGGCGCAAGCCUGAUCCAGCCACACCGCGUGGGUGAAGAAGGCCUUCGGGUUGUAAAGCCCUUUUGUUGGGAAAGAAAAGCAGCAGGUUAAAACCCCGCUGUUCUGACGGUACCCAAAGAAUAAGCACCGGCUAACUUCGUG